rnacentral:rRNA from 1 species
AUGGAACCGGAGGACACAUUCCACACAUUCUGUAGAUGCCCAUUGGAUGUUGCUUUGUGGAACGCUAUGCAAGAAAAAUGGCUAUUGCCGGACUUAGCUUCAGUGAUGAAUACAAGGCUUGAGUGGCUUUUUGAUCUUCUGUACAAGCUAAAUGAAGAUGAUCGCAUGCAUGUGUUGAUGGUGCUGUGGAGGAGUUGGUAUUUGUCUGCCCCACCGGCUGGUCGCGUGAAGCUGAAUGUUGACGGGUCGUUCGUUGAUAUAGACGGUCGAUUAGCAGGAUCCGGUAUGAUCCUACGUGAUAAUGACGGCAACAUUAUCUUCUCCGCUUGUCGUUCCAUCUUGCAUUGUUCCGGACCGCUCCAGGCUGAGUUGUUGGCGUGCCAGGAGGGAUUACGCCUUGCUCUACAAUGGUCUACUCACUCGGUAGACAUUGAUAUGGACUUGAUGGAUGUGGUCAAGUUGAUCAAGUCGCCUACCCUUGACAGAUCGCCAAAUAAAAUGAUAGUUCAGGAUAUUAAGAGGCUCUUUGGUGAAUGGGAUGUCUCCAUUGCUCAUGUAAGUAGGAAUCAGAAUGUUGUUAGCCACACCCUUGCUGCUUUCGGACGAUCGGGGGCCCGAUCUGCAGUUUGGUUGCGCUUUGGACCUGCAGACGUUCCUCUGCUAUUGGUCGAUCUGGUCAACUUGUCGGGAGCCCUCCACGACGCCAUGCGUUCUGGGGUCCCACAUCCCCUCAUGUCCGCCUACCACAUCCAUAUCGAAUCGGAUGUUGCACCUAGCCUUAUCUCCCGCCACAUGUUUUCUUCCCAAAGGCGCCGCCGCCAGAACAUCUCUCUUUAUACAUGUUUGCAGCGUAUUGACCCUCAUCACAACUCGCUUCUAGCCCAUUGGCCAUCAUCACCUACAACAGGCAUUGCACAUGCCCGAUCGUGUGCUAAUUGGGUUGCGUCCCUGCUGCUCCUCUCAGACCGCCGCACACCAAGGCUACCGCCACCAAUUUAG